rnacentral:rRNA from 1 species
GACGAACGCUGGCGGCGCGCCUAACACAUGCAAGUCGAACGGAGCUGAGAGAAGCUUGCUUUUCUUAGCUUAGUGGCGAACGGGUGAGUAACGCGUGAGUAACCUGCCCUGGAGUGGGGGACAACAGUUGGAAACGACUGCUAAUACCGCAUAAGCCCACGAUCCGGCAUCGGAUUGAGGGAAAAGGAUUUAUUCGCUUCAGGAUGGACUCGCGUCCAAUUAGCUAGUUGGUGAGGUAACGGCCCACCAAGGCGACGAUUGGUAGCCGGACUGAGAGGUUGAACGGCCACAUUGGGACUGAGACACGGCCCAGACUCCUACGGGAGGCAGCAGUGGGGGAUAUUGCACAAUGGGGGAAACCCUGAUGCAGCGACGCCGCGUGGAGGAAGAAGGUUUUCGGAUUGUAAACUCCUGUCGUUAGGGACGAUAAUGACGGUACCUAACAAAAAAGCACCGGCUAACUACGU